UGGUAACCCGCUGGGGUCCCCUUCUACACUGUGGAAGCUUUGUUCUUUGCAAUAAAUCUUGCUACUGCUUACUCUUUGGGUCCACAUUGCUUUUAUGAGCUAUAACACUCACCGCGAAGGUCUGCAGCUACACUCCUGAAGCUAGCGAGACCAUGAGCCCACUGGGAGGAAAAAACAACUCCAGACGCGCUGCCUUAAGAGCUGUAACACUCACCGCGAAGGUCUGCAGCUUCACUCCUGAGCCAGCGAGACCACGAACCCAACAGAAGGAAAAAUCUCCGAACACAUCCAAACAUCAGAAGGAACAAACUCCAGUGCGCCACCUUAAGAGCUGUAACACUCACCACGAGGGUCCGCGGCUUCAUUCCUGAAGUCAGUGAGACCAAGAACCCGCCAAUUCCAGACACGUUUUGGCAACCCAGAUGGGACUUUCGCCUAUCGCCAAGUGGUGAGACAAUCGCCGAGCAGUGAGACCAUCGCCUAUUGCUGAGCAAAUUGAGGCCAUCAAGCUACAGAUGGUCUUACAAAUGGAACCCCAAAUGAGUUCAACUAACAACUUCUACCGAGGACCCCUGGACCGACCCACUGGCACUUCCCCUGGCCUAGAGAGUUCCCCUCUGAAGGACACCACAACUACAGGGCCCCUUCUUCGCCUCUAUCCAGCAGGAAGUAGCUAGAGUGGUCAUCGGCCAAAUUCCCAACAGCAGUUGGGGUGUCCUGUUUAGAGGGGGGAUUGAGAGAUGACAGCGUGCUGGCAGUCCUCACAGCCCUCGCUCGCUCUCGGCGUCUCCUCUGCCUGGGCUCCCACUUUGGCGGCACUUGAGGAGCACUUCAGCCCACUGCUGCACUGUGGGAGCCCCUUUCUGGGCUGGCCGAGGCUGGAGCCGGCUCCCUCAGCUUGCAGGGAGGUGUGGAGGGAGAGGUGCGAGUGGGAACCCGGGCUGUGCGCGGCGCUUGUGGGCCAGCUGGAGUUCCGGGUGGGCGUGGGCUUGGUGGGCCCCGCACUCGGAGCAGCCGGCCGGCCCUGCCAGCCCCGGGCAAUGAGGGGCUUAGCACCCGGGCCAGCGGCUGCGGAGGGUGUACUGGGUCCCCCAGCAGUGCCAGCCCGCUGGCGCUGCGCUCGAUUUCUCACCAGGCCUUAGCUGCCUUCCCAUGGGGCAGGGCUCGGGACCGGCAGCCCAUCAUGCCUGAGCCUCCCACCCCCUCCGUGGGCUCCCAAGCCUCCCCGGUGUGUCCGGAGCCUCCCCGAUGAGCACCGCCCCCUGCUCCAUGGUGCCCAGUUCCAUUGACCACCCAAGGGCUGGGGAGUGUGGGCGCACAGCGUGGGACUGGCAGGCAGCUCCACCUGCAGCCCUGAUGUGGGAUCCACUGGGUGAAGCCAGCUGGGCUCCUGAGUCUGGUGGGGACGUGGAGAACCUUUAUGUCUAGCCCAGGGAUUGUAAAUACACCAAUCGGCACUCUGUAUCUAGCUCAAGGUUUGUAAACACACCAAUCAGCACCCUGUGUCUAGCUCAGGGUUUGUGAAUGCACCAAUCCACAAUCUGUAUCUAACUACUCUGGUGGGGACUUGGAGAACCUUUGUGUGGACACUCUGUAUCUAGCCCAUCUAGUGAGGAGGUGGAGAACCUUUGAGUCUAGCUCUGGGAUUGUAAACGCAUUGGGAUUGUAAAUGCACCAAUCAGUGCCCUGUCAAAACAGACCACUCGGCUCUACCAAUCAGCAGGAUGUGGGUGGGGCCAGAUAAGAGAAUAAAAGCAGGCUGCCUGAGCCAGCAGUGGCAACCUGCUUGGGUGCCCUUCCACACUGUGGAAGCUUUGUUCUUUUGCUCUUUGCAAUAAAUCUUGCUACCGCUCACUCUUUGGGUCCACACUGCUUUUAUGAGCUGUAACACUCACUGUGAAGGUCUGCAGCUUUACUCCUGAAGCCAGCGAGACCACGAGCCCACUGGGAGGAACGAACAAUUCCAGACGCACUGCCUUAAGAGCUGUAACACUCACCGCAAAGGUCUGCAGCUUCACUCCUGAGCCAGGGAGUCCACGAACCCACCAGAAGGAAGAAACUCCAAACACAUCCGAACAUCAGAAGGAACAAACUCCAGACGUGCCACCUUAAGGGCUGUAACACUCACCGUGAGGGUCCGCGGCUUCAUUCUUGAAGUCAGUGAGACCAAGAACCCACCAAUUCCGGACACAGCACCACUGCACUCCAGCCUGGGUGACAGAGCGAGACCCUGUCUCAAAAAACAAAAAACCACAGAUUGCUGGGCCCCACCCCCAGAACUUCUGUGUUGGGAGCAGGCCCCCCAAAAUCUGGCCAUAAACUGGCCCCAAAACUGGCCAUAAACAAAAUCUCUGCAGCACUGUAACGUGUUCAUAAUGGCCCUAACGCCCAAGCUGGAAGAUUGUGAUUUUAUGGGAAUGAGGGCAAGGAACACCUGGCCUGCCCAGGGCGGAAAAUGCUUGAAGGCGUUCUUAAGCUACAAACAAUAGCAUGAGCGAUCUGUGCCUUAAGAACAUGCUCCUGCUGCAGUUAACUAUCCCAACCUAUUCCUUUAAUUCGGCCCAUCCCUUCGUUUCUCACUUUUUAGUUAAUUGAAUAUCCAUAGAAACAAUGCUAAUGACUGGCUUGCUGUAAAUAAAUACGUGGGUAAAUCUCUGUUCGGGGCUCUCAGCUCUGAAAACUGUGAGACUCCUGGUUUCCCACUUCACACCUCUA